GAUGAACGCUGGCGGCGUGCUUAACGCAUGCAAGUCGAACGGGAUCCAAGGGGUGCUUGCACUUUUUGGUGAGAGUGGCGAACGGGUGAGUAACACGUGAGUAACCUGUCCUUUUCUUUGGGAUAAGCAUUCGAAAGGGUGUUUAAUACCUUAUGUUCUGUCUGCCUCGCAUGGGGUGGGUGGGAAAGGCUUUGGCCGGAUUUGGGUGGGCUCGCGGUCUAUCAGCUUGUUGGUGGGGUGAUGGCUUACCAAGGCUUUGACGGGUAGCCGGCCUGAGAGGGUGGUCGGUCACAUUGGGACUGAGAUACGGCCCAGACUCCUGCGGGAGGCAGCAGUGGGGGAUAUUGCACAAUGGGCGAAAGCCUGAUGCAGCGACGCCGCGUGGGGGAUGAAGGCCUGCGGGUUGUAAACUUCUUUUGCUCUGAACAAGGCAUGCCAGUGGGUGUGUUGAGUGUAGGGGUGGAUUAGCGCCGGCUAACUACGUG
rnacentral:rRNA from 1 species